rnacentral:misc_RNA from 1 species
UUUCCGUAGGUGAACCUGCGGAAGGAUCAUUAAAGAGUAAGGGACUUUCUGAACCGCUCUCCACCUCCUUCUUUAACUACUACGUUGUUUCGCCCGGCCCGCCUCCCGACCGUCGGCAGUCCUCGGCCUUCUCGCCCGUGCCCGCCAAUAGUCCUGUAUAUACUCUGGAACAACUCAGAUGACCGAGACAUUAAUUUACUAGUCACAACUUUCAACAACCGAUCUCUUGGUUCUGGCAUCGAAGAAGCACGCAGCAGAACGGCAGAGCACACGCCUGAA